ACAAAAUAUGGGCAACGUGCAAAUUAAAUAAUAAUAUUAAUAGUAAUAGAAAGAGAUAAUUAUAUUAUACUUCUUCUCUAAAGACGUUACACUGAUGAAUGCUUCAAUUCGUAAGAGCCAUAUCGAAUCGAUAUAUAAUAACGAGUUGAAACAUGACACGCGGAAAAAACGUUGACGACCUAACGAAAUGGCAGACGAAUAAUACAAGCGUGACACGAGCAUUUGGUUAAAGCAGACCAAAGUCUUUAGCGAUAUAUAUAUAACUACAAUGGCAGCUGCGCACUUCCUCAAUUCAUAUAUUCCGGGCAACGAGAGAAUAAUGUCUACAAAAAGGAGAGAAAUGAAACGGGUAGGGAUUACGGAAGGGAUCGUCAAAAGAGCCGUGCAAGAUUCGCGAAGGGAUCUUCCGCAAAAAUGGAAAGGUUAAGAUUAUCGCAGCAAUUUAGAUUUUUAUGUUUUCUAUAAUAAAAUGACUGCCUAAAACGUUGACGUAGAACGAAAGUAGGCCUGAUAACUGAAGAUAAACCGAAACGGGAAGGAUUAAGAUUACACGCAAAGAAUGAUUUUGUUAAAAUACAUAUAUCUAAAAAUUUAGAUGGAUACAGAUCUGAAAAUAAUUUUGUUAGGCUGAUUAUGUAGGAAACUCACAAGCACGAUCGAUAAGCAAUGCUGCAAAAAGUCUUGACAUUCUAGCAACUAGCUUGAGCGUCUUGCAUAAUUAUUUUGACAGCCCAAAAAUUAUUUUUAGAUCUGUAUAUCUAGCUAAAUUUUUAGAUACUUUAGCAAAACUGUUUCUUUCGUAUAAUUAUGAGAUACUUCCGAAAAUUCGUUUGCCCUCGCUUGUUCAAGGAAGCUUUUGCGCCGACGAUGAUAUUAACACGGACCUAUUGGAGAAAGGAGUAAAUUAUGCACGUAUAGACGUGUUGCGUAAUACAUUGUAUACAACUUUGCCUUUUACACGUUCGGCUUAUAUGGGACGAGUAUAAUUUAACCGGCUAAUUAUUUAUCCGCGCACAAUGGUCACGAAUCGCUCCAACGUCGACCUGCGGCAAAGGAAGACAAAGUGGUUCCCUUGCGCGAUUUGUUCCGCGUAUAGUGAAUUACGGAGAGUGGCGAAAGUAUUCGCCCAUUCAUCAUUUAACGUUCAAAUGAAGAAUUUCCAGGCAAGAUUAAAAUUUCAUGAACUCGAAGUUUUAUCCCAAAUUGUACGUUUCCUGUUCAAAUGCGCGAAAAUAUUACAUCGGUGUAAAUGUAUAUCGUCUAGUUAAGUCACUGCGUGAAAGUAAUGUGAAAAAAAUUCUUCAAAGAAUAAACACAAAUCUAUUUAAUAAUUUCCUUAUCUGCAAACAAAAUCCAUAUUAAAUUAACUAUAUCAAGUAAUAUGUGUUGCAUUUGAACAUUAAUACAUAAGAAAAGAGAGGUUUAUUGUCCUGUCAUUGUCUUAACAUUAGAAUGAUGAAGCAAUUUUAAAUUAACUAAUAAGAUUGUCUUGCUAUUCUUUAAAGUAAUAUCCUUAAUAUAAUCAUUUAUUCGGAGAUUCUAAAGAGAUUUAAAAUGCAGCAUUAACUAAAGAGGCGGCACAUCUAUAAAACGAAACUAUGGAGAAUUUGAGGAUAACCUGAACCAUAUAUUGAACAAUAUAUUGUUAACUUCGUGACUACUUAAGAUAUUUAUAUGUAUAAUGACGAUAAUAAUUUUUAUAUAUACGACUAAUUUUGUAUAAUACAUUUAAACUGAUCACUAAGAAUGACGUAAUUUAAAAGGUCGAAACAUCUGAUAAAGAUAAACAUAACACGUAUUUAUGUAAUGUAAUUUAUGUAUUUAUGUAACGUGGUAUAGAAAUAUUUAAAUAUAUUGUGUAGCACUAA